rnacentral:SRP_RNA from 1 species
UGUCGGUCCCCUCGCAACGAUUCGCCGUGAACCCGGUCAGGCCCGGAAGGGAGCAGCCGUAGCGGUACCGUCGUGUGCCGGGGUGUGGCUGGCAGGG